UCCUUGUGCUGGUCCGACCGU
rnacentral:siRNA from 1 species